UUGAAGAGUUUGAUCAUGGCUCAGAUUGAACGCUGGCGGCAGGCCUAACACAUGCAAGUCGAACGGUAACAGGAAGAAGCUUGCUUCUUUGCUGACGAGUGGCGGACGGGUGAGUAAUGUCUGGGAAACUGCCUGAUGGAGGGGGAUAACUACUGGAAACGGUAGCUAAUACCGCAUAACGUCGCAAGACCAAAGAGGGGGACCUUCGGGCCUCUUGCCAUCGGAUGUGCCCAGAUGGGAUUAGCUUGUUGGUGGGGUAACGGCUCACCAAGGCGACGAUCCCUAGCUGGUCUGAGAGGAUGACCAGCCACACUGGAACUGAGACACGGUCCAGACUCCUACGGGAGGCAGCAGUGGGGAAUAUUGCACAAUGGGCGCAAGCCUGAUGCAGCCAUGCCGCGUGUAUGAAGAAGGCCUUCGGGUUGUAAAGUACUUUCAGCGGGGAGGAAGGGAGUAAAGUUAAUACCUUUGCUCAUUGACGUUACCCGCAGAAGAAGCACCGGCUAACUCCGUGCCAGCAGCCGCGGUAAUACGGAGGGUGCAAGCGUUAAUCGGAAUUACUGGGCGUAAAGCGCACGCAGGCGGUUUGUUAAGUCAGAUGUGAAAUCCCCGGGCUCAACCUGGGAACUGCAUCUGAUACUGGCAAGCUUGAGUCUCGUAGAGGGGGGUAGAAUUCCAGGUGUAGCGGUGAAAUGCGUAGAGAUCUGGAGGAAUACCGGUGGCGAAGGCGGCCCCCUGGACGAAGACUGACGCUCAGGUGCGAAAGCGUGGGGAGCAAACAGGAUUAGAUACCCUGGUAGUCCACGCCGUAAACGAUGUCGACUUGGAGGUUGUGCCCUUGAGGCGUGGCUUCCGGAGCUAACGCGUUAAGUCGACCGCCUGGGGAGUACGGCCGCAAGGUUAAAACUCAAAUGAAUUGACGGGGGCCCGCACAAGCGGUGGAGCAUGUGGUUUAAUUCGAUGCAACGCGAAGAACCUUACCUGGUCUUGACAUCCACAGAACUUUCCAGAGAUGGAUUGGUGCCUUCGGGAACUGUGAGACAGGUGCUGCAUGGCUGUCGUCAGCUCGUGUUGUGAAAUGUUGGGUUAAGUCCCGCAACGAGCGCAACCCUUAUCCUUUGUUGCCAGCGGUCCGGCCGGGAACUCAAAGGAGACUGCCAGUGAUAAACUGGAGGAAGGUGGGGAUGACGUCAAGUCAUCAUGGCCCUUACGACCAGGGCUACACACGUGCUACAAUGGCGCAUACAAAGAGAAGCGACCUCGCGAGAGCAAGCGGACCUCAUAAAGUGCGUCGUAGUCCGGAUUGAGUCUGCAACUCGACUCCAUGAAGUCGGAAUCGCUAGUAAUCGUGGAUCAGAAUGCCACGGUGAAUACGUUCCCGGCCUUGUACACACCGCCCGUCACACCAUGGGAGUGGGUUGCAAAGAAGUAGGUAGCUUAACCUUCGGGAGGGCGCUUACCACUUUGUGAUUCAUGACUGGGGUGAAGUCGUAACAAGGUAACCGUAGGGGAACCUGCGGUUGGAUCACCUCCUU
rnacentral:rRNA from 1 species